AUCCAUCAUGCCUUGGAACCACCUUAGAGCCUACCAAAAAGCACAAAGAUGGCUAACUGUGAGUCAUGCUAAACAAGAAAGACAUCCAAACCACGAAUGAAGAGAGUUUGAGGGACAUGCUUCAAAAUCCCAGAGUGAAUCUGCACAGGAGGAUUGUGACAGUAAAGACGACUCUGUGGUUAUGGGAGGCUCAUGGUGAAUAUGACGGCAGAGAGCAGUCCUGCCCUCACAUCUCCCUCUACAGCUGCUUUCAACCGGAAAGAUGAGAGCUGAAGUCUGACUGAAGUGACAGCACGUCUGGAAAAAGCACUUCUGUGUGUCCUUGAGCAGCCGGGAGAGAAAAGUCCCUUGAUGUCUGAGUGUCCAAGAACAGUAGGAGCUUGAUGUGGCUCCAGAAACUACCACGGAGUGUGCCAGUGGCUCAUGGUGC
ensembl:lncRNA